AGCCCGCUCGCCGGAAGACCAAGGGUUCCUGUCCAACGUUAAUCGGGGCAGGGUGAGUCGACCCCUAAGGCGAGGCCGAAAGGCGUAGUCGAUGGGAAACAGGUUAAUAUUCCUGUACUUGGUGUUACUGCGAAGGGGGGACGGAGAAGGCUAUGUUGGCCGGGCGACGGUUGUCCCGGUUUAAGCGUGUAGGCUGGUUUUCCAGGCAAAUCCGGAAAACCAAGGCUGAGGCGUGAUGACGAGGCACUACGGUGCUGAAGCGACAAAUGCCCUGCUUCCAGGAAAAGCCUCUAAGCAUCAGGUAACAUCAAAUCGUACCCCAAACCGACACAGGUGGUCAGGUAGAGAAUACCAAGGCGCUUGAGAGAACUCGGGUGAAGGAACUAGGCAAAAUGGUGCCGUAACUUCGGGAGAAGGCACGCUGAUAUGUAGGUGAAGCGACUUGCUCGUGGAGCUGAAAUCAGUCGAAGAUACCAGCUGGCUGCAACUGUUUAUUAAAAACACAGCACUGUGCAAACACGAAAGUGGACGUAUACGGUGUGACGCCUGCCCGGUGCCGGAAGGUUAAUUGAUGGGGUUAGCGGUAACGCGAAGCUCUUGAUCGAAGCCCCGGUAAACGGCGGCCGUAACUAUAACGGUCCUAAGGUAGCGAAAUUCCUUGUCGGGUAAGUUCCGACCUGCACGAAUGGCGUAAUGAUGGCCAGGCUGUCUCCACCCGAGACUCAGUGAAAUUGAACUCGCUGUGAAGAUGCAGUGUACCCGCGGCAAGACGGAAAGACCCCGUGAACCUUUACUAUAGCUUGACACUGAACAUUGAGCCUUGAUGUGUAGGAUAGGUGGGAGGCUUUGAAGUGUGGACGCCAGUCUGCAUGGAGCCGACCUUGAAAUACCACCCUUUAAUGUUUGAUGUUCUAACGUUGGCCCGUAAUCCGGGUUGCGGACAGUGUCUGGUGGGUAGUUUGACUGGGGCGGUCUCCUCCUAAAGAGUAACGGAGGAGCACGAAGGUUGGCUAAUCCUGGUCGGACAUCAGGAGGUUAGUGCAAUGGCAUAAGCCAGCUUGACUGCGAGCGUGACGGCGCGAGCAGGUGCGAAAGCAGGUCAUAGUGAUCCGGUGGUUCUGAAUGGAAGGGCCAUCGCUCAACGGAUAAAAGGUACUCCGGGGAUAACAGGCUGAUACCGCCCAAGAGUUCAUAUCGACGGCGGUGUUUGGCACCUCGAUGUCGGCUCAUCACAUCCUGGGGCUGAAGUAGGUCCCAAGGGUAUGGCUGUUCGCCAUUUAAAGUGGUACGCGAGCUGGGUUUAGAACGUCGUGAGACAGUUCGGUCCCUAUCUGCCGUGGGCGCUGGAGAACUGAGGGGGGCUGCUCCUAGUACGAGAGGACCGGAGUGGACGCAUCACUGGUGUUCGGGUUGUCAUGCCAAUGGCACUGCCCGGUAGCUAAAUGCGGAAGAGAUAAGUGCUGAAAGCAUCUAAGCACGAAACUUGCCCCGAGAUGAGUUCUCCCUGACUCCUUGAGGGUCCUGAAGGAACGUUGAAGACGACGACGUUGAUAGGCCGGGUGUGUAAGCGCAGCGAUGCGUUGAGCUAACCGGUACUAAUGAACCGUGAGGCUUAACC
rnacentral:rRNA from 1 species